rnacentral:lncRNA from 1 species
ACCUUCACACUGAGGUUGCAGCGAUACGGGGUGACAUAGCAGGCCUGCGUGGGACGGACGAUUAUCGAGAUAGAGAAGCUAGCGGAUAGACAGGUCACUAUCGGGACAGAGGGGAUGACGGAGGGAUUGGUGGCUAUCAGGACAGAGGGACUGGCGGCUAUCGGGAUGGAGGGGGUGACGGAGGGGUCGUUGGUUAUCAAGGGGAAGGGGGUCAGAUAGGGUAUGUUGACUCAUCGUGGCAAUUAGUUGUUGCAUUUGAUUCAUUUUUAAAUGACAUGAUGGGGAUGGAGGAGCGAGAGGAGAUACCUGUGUUGGAGGGGGUACCCAAGUAGGAGGGAGUACCCGUGAAGGGGAUACCUGAGGACAUGGAGGGGGUACCCGAGGAGGAGAGGGUACCGGAGGUGGAGUUGGUACUCGAGAUGACGUCACCCGAGGCAAAGAGAAUACCCGAGGAGGAGGAGGUACCCGUGAAGGGGAUACCUGAGGACGUCGAGGGGGUACCAGAGGAGGAGAGGGUACCAGAGGUAGAGGUUGUACCCGAGAUGACGUCACCCGAGGCAGAUGGGAUACCCAAGGAGAUGGGGGUGCCCGUGCAGGGAUACCUAAGGACGUCGAGGGGGUACCGAAGGAGGAGAGGGUACCGAAGGUGGAGGUGGUACCCGUGCAGGGAAUACCAGGGGAUGUCGAGGGGGCACCGGAGGAGGAGAGGGUACCCAAGGUAGAGGUGGUACCCUAGAAGACACCAGACUUGCCGGACGUGGUCUUUGUGUCGGAGGAGGUGGUCCCGAUAGCGGGCGAGGGGGUAGUCCUGAUGGCUGGGGAGAUGGAGGUUCCCUAGACGCAUGAGGAGAUGACGAUGACUGUUGACGUGCUGGAGCGCGUGGUCGGCAAGAGGCUGAGGGUGUCAUCACAGUAUGUUGUUUCUCCCUUUACCGUAAAGGCGAAGAGAAGAAGGUUCGUCGACGAGAUGCACCCGAAUUUAUUCAGGGAGGUGGACCACGUCAAGUGAAAAGCCUUUGAGACGGAGUGGAGAGCACUAAAGCCUGAGUAAGUUUUGUAUUUUAUAGAAUUAGUAUAGUAUGCAGACGCUGACACAUGUAUACUUCUUGUAACUAAAAAUUUUGUUCUUAUUUUUCAAAGCCAGCCGCACAAUUGCGCAGAAGACGAUCUCAAAUGCUUACAAGUGGUUCCACGAUAUCACCACUUCGGGGGCUUGGCUCGCCGAUGAUGUAAGGAAAUGAAAAUAUUGUUAUUUAUUAUGUAUGUUCAAAAUCAAAUUUUUGAAUCAAAUUCAUAGAUUAACUCCUUUCUUUAUUGGUGUUUCUUGAUGUAGCACAUCAACUUGGCCAUGGAUUUGCUACGAGAUCGAGCUGAAAGACAUCCGAAAUCGUUCAACAUUCCUGACAGACUCAUAUUGAACACCGAGUUCAUCCGUGUCGUUGACAUUAAGUACCAGUCGUUCCAAGUUAUGGGUAACGCGUACACGGUGUUGACAUAUAUGAUGGAGUGGGUCAUAGGGAUGUGGCCGAGUGUCGGAGGAAAGCCAUGAGAGGGUUGCAUGCAUAUGUACAUGCCAGUAUGUGUGAAUCAUCACUACAUUGCAGUGAAAAUCAUAUUCGUCGACUCCACAAUGUAUGUGUACGACCCCGAUCAUUCAUGCCUAAAACAAGGUCAACUCGAGCAAAAUUAGAGUCGGUGUCUGUGAUCGUUCCCAUGAUAGCUAGACGAGCGAACAUCACUGUACAGGACAGAUAGGCCAUCGUGUGAAACACGACGACGAUGAGACAGCAAAUAUUUUAAGUGUUUGUAAUUUUAUUUUUGUCAUUUACAUCUUAAGUUCUAACUAAUUUUCGAUGUGCUAAUACAACAAUGUUUAAUUGUAGGGGUGAUUGCGACAUGUUCGUCAUCAAGUACAUAGAAUUUUUGAGUGAGGCACAUAAGGUUGAUACAAUCAACCAGGCAUGGAUACAAAAUUGGAGAAAUAAAUUAGCAUGUGAUUUAUUUGAAUUAAAUAGGGAUCCGUAAAUAAUUAUACAUAUUUUUACAUUUAUUUAAAUAUUGUACAUUUUAUUCAUUCAUUUGUAAUUACGAAAAAAUUGUAAAAUGUUAAUUAUUUACGUAAUAUUUAAAUAAUUAUUUUACAAUUUAUGUGUUUAUUUAUAAUAUUUGUGUGUAUUGUGGAUAACGCAGUAUCUAGAAAAAAUUUCGAUUUCAAAUAAUUAACAUAAAUAAUGUGUAUAAAUAAUGUGUAUAACAAAUGAAAGUAAUGAAUAGAAUGUUUAAAAAAAAAAACUAAAUCUAAUAAUUAACAUAAAUAAUAUGUAUAAAUAAUUACAUUGUCAAUAAUUAUUAAAAUUAUACAUCCGUUAGAUUGUCAUGCAGAGAAAUCUGACUUGUACAAUAUCUUCUAGUAUGCCAUGUUGCACCGCACUUACGAGGCUGGGGAAACUCUCCGGUAUAUGGUAUUCUAGACAUACGUGUACGUCCAGGAGUACGUGAUCCAACUGCUGGUGGCAACAAGUUAUUCAGUGGGAGAAUGUGGUCGGGAACUUCCCACUUGACUUCGUUUGGUAUAGGAAAUAUUGUUUCCGCAUAUGCUGCUCUCCAAUAAUCAGUCAUGUAAUACACAUUGUAUAAGGUGUUUGGUGGAAAUUCUCUAUGCAUAGCCACUGCCACUGCAUGUGUACACGGAAAACUCUCCAACUGAAAUCGUCUACACGUGUACAUGUUAUCAUUCAAGUCCACGAUUUAUCCGAAAUUACGUGCACAUCUCACGGAGAAGCAAAACUGAUCCAGUGGUUCUACAUAUACCUUUCUCGCCACAUCUAGAGUCUUGAAGAGCUUAUCUUCUUGAGCCGGGGUUAGCACACUUUCACAACUCUCUGAUUCCUCACGACGAUCAUGAAACCACUGUUGUAGCUUGUCACAAAUGUUUUCAAUCAUUGCAAGAGUUGGUAACUCUCGAUCUUUUUUGAAUAAAGCGUUAAGCGACUCUGCAUUGUUUGACGUUAUUAUGUUGUAUCGACGUCCUGGAAAAUGUGAUCGUGCCCAAUGUUCAAUUCCCAUCUCUGUUAGAUACUCCCAUGCAGGAUGCGAUUUACUGUUUAUUUCGACCAUGAAUUUUUUAAACUCUUCAAAACUGUAAGUUUAUGCAGCUCUCCUAAACAACGCAACGAUGCCCUUGCCUUGAUACCUGGUCUUCAGGUUUCCUUGUAUAUGGUUCAUACAAUAACCAUGAUGUGCCUCGGGGAAGAUUUCGGCGAUACCAUUUAUUAUUGACUGUCCUCGAUCAGUUACGAAUGCAAGGUUUUCAACAUCCCCAAUUACUUCCCUUAACUUCGUGAAAAACCAACUCAUCGCUACAUUAUUUUCUUUGUCGACUAUGCUGAAUGCAAGAAGGUAAUUUUGAAUGUUCGCAUCUUGGCAUGUUGUAAUAAUCAACUUGCCCUCGUAUCUCUCCUUAAGGAUUGUACCGUCGACUAAGAUUAGGGGUCGCAAUACAUUUCGAAAUCCUUGAACACAUUGUCUGAGGGCCAUAAAAAAAUAUUUGAAACGAUUAUCGUCAUCCUUCUCAAUAAAAAAUGCCGACCCAGUAUUAAUUCUUCCCAUGUUAUAGCAAUACCUGGCCAAUGUAAAUAAAAAUAAUCAUAAUUUAGAUAAUCUAUUAAAUAUUAAAUGAACAGAAAAAUAAACAAUUCAAUUAAAUAAUUAAUUACAUAUAAAUAAACAAUUGAAAUAAAAUAAUUAAAAAUUAAAAUAACAAAGAAAUAAACACUUAAAUAAUUAAAUAUCUGGCUAAUUUAACAUAACACUUCUCGGUCGAACCCAUCAUAUCUUCCAAUGUACAUUCUUUAGCCUUCCAAGCCUUCUGAUAGCUCAUGACCAUCCCGUACUCUCAUCGAACGCCAUUACUGAUGCCCGAAGGUCUGUAGAUCGUUUGUGGGUCCUGAAACUUGCGCAUUAUUUCUCGACCAAUGAACCAUGAUCGGGUCUGCCUAUGAUUAUUUCGACAAAUACCCACUUCGCAAGUAUGUUCCCGUGCAUACUUACGGAUCAAAAAGAACUCAUUCGUGUCCAUCUUAGUCGCUCGCAAACGCCAAUGACAACUGUCGUCAAUGCAGAUAAUUGUGUAUGUCGACUUGUUUAAUUUCUUCACUUCAAACUCGAAGUUAUGUUUUAAAGUAAUUCGGUGCACAGCUUCUUGCAAUUCUUUCUUUGACUCGAAUAGUUGUUCGACAUAUACAUCUUCAUCAUCGAGAACUACACGUGAACAAUUAGAGGACCGUAUACUCGAUCCGGCCUGUGAGCUCCCACCCGACUCAUGUUUCCUACGGGGUAAAGCAAUCAAAUCCUCAUUUGUAAAUACGUUUUCAUUCUCAUUGUCUUCAACUAUCGAUGGAAUUCCGUGCGUAACAGUGUGAUUAUGGUGAGUAGCAGUGGUCUCGAGAAUAACCACAUCAUCUUCACGAACAAUUUGAAUUGUAUCCCAAACAUCAUUUACAUUACGAUUUUUUUAAUUUGAAACUUCGUGUUCACCAUCGUGGACAUUCUUCCCCAAUAAAGUUACGCAAAUAGGAGUCGACUUUCGGCUUUGGUUCAAUUUAAUUAGAUGUUUUAUUUCCAUUUCAGAAGUAACUUUCAUAGGUGGAAUUAGAAUGGUUGAAUGCUUAUGAAACAAAAAUCAAAUUUUCAUAUCGUACUGAGAUGGAUCGACGUUAAGCAUGUUUUGUAUAUCAUGGUACAUUUCUGCAAACGAUGUACUUCUUGUUAUAAAAACCGCUUUAACCCCAUCUUUUUCACUCGUCCAUUUCCAUUGAGCAUUUUCAUUCAUUUGAAAUUCACCGAAAUAACAAAUUGGGACACAUGCUGAUGCCAUAUCUGCCAUAAAUUAAAAAUAAGGAAUUAAUAUGUAAUUUCUUAAAUUAUUCAUUUCAUAUUUAAUUUAAUUUUAUACUUUAAAUAAUUCAUUGAUUAUUUUAAUUGUUUCGAAAAUAUUUAUUUCAAUUAGUAUUAAAUAUUCAUUAAUAUUUACUACAAGAAACAUAUAUUAAAUAUGAACAAAUAAAUUAUAAAAUAUAAAAGGAAAAAAAUUAAAUAAAUAAAAUUCUGCUGGGUAGGUUGGAACUGGAAACAGCCGGCUGCGUCUGAUCGGCCCAGAAACAGCCGGAUGUUUCCAGUCGGCCAGGAUAAUUGGGCAGCUCAUCCCUCAAUUCUGCCGAGGACUUCCGUCGCUGUCUGGAUUCUCUGGCCAAACCUGACUGAACCAAACCAACCUCAACUGAUUGAACUCAAGCAAUCGCAGCUACUUUCUCUUCCACUGCCUUCCUCCUGCUUUCCCUUCUCCCCCGGGAGAUGAGUCAAACUCAGGCUAUUUGAACUAGAAAAAAAAGGCGUGAUUCCCCCAAGGCGGGCAGAGACCUAAAUUUCCAUUAGAUUUUUUCCUAAAAAUUUCUUGCAGCAAGAUGAUCAGUCCGCCUUAUUCCGUCACCCGAAAUCCGGGCCGGCUGUUUUCAUCCUGAAACUUACGCUGUAAUUUUUUAUUUUUUCCCCUUUUUCAACGAAAUAAUGUUUAAAUAUUUAUUUUACAAACACUUAUAAAUUUUUCCUAUAAAAUAUACGCAUACAAAGAUGAAUUUUUUUUUUCGUUUUUGCUAUAAAAAAUUAUAUAUCUAUGUUUAAAUACUGUAAUAAUUCAUCUGCUUUGUCAAAAUAAGAUUUAAAGAUUCAAACAAUAAAUUUAACUAAAACAAAAUUAAAAAUACGUAUUUACACUUUCCAAUUUCCAGUGCCGAUUGUUUUUUUUUUUUUUUUUGAACCUUUGAUAAUUUAGUGAGAUUUCAAUAUUCUAGUAGAUGGAAGAAUUCUUUUUUUCAUUGUAUUGGAGAAACUGAUAAGUAAAAUUGAUUUUAAAAUUUACGUAUGGAAGUGAAUGAAUUUAUUUAAACUUUUAAGGGUAUUAUUGUCUUUCAAAGAAUUAACAUAUUUUUGUAAUUGUGGAACAUAAAUAAGGGCACAAUUGUCUUUUUCAAUACAAGAGGCUAAUGUGGUGAAUGCAAAAAAAAAAAAAAAAAAAAAAAUGGUCAAAGUGCAAAACUUGUUGUUUGACUAAACCAAUUUGAAAAGUACCCCAAAAUGUAUAAUAAAUAUUUAAUUUACUUUAAUUUAUUUCUCAUACUUAUUUUCAAUUACACUUUCACACAAUAAAAUAUUCUACAAGUAAAUUUCUCAUUUUUUAAUUUUUUUUUUACUUUUUUAUCAUUUAUUUUUCAAAAAAUACUAUUCAAGAUAUAAUUUUUUUACAAAUAAAGGUCACCAAAGAAGGGGCUAAUUAUCCUGCUUAACUUGAUGAUAUAUCACCUCUAGUGUUUUGUGCAACGAUUUAUUUUCAUUAUAUUAUAAUAUGGAUAUUAUUUUUUUUCUUUUUCAUUAAAAAAUAGAAGAUAACAUACGACCACGUCAUCAUCGUCCAAGAUUUGGCGGUUGAUAGUGUCCACAGUUAUAUUCUCCUUCCCACCUCCCUACGCGACCCUCUUCUUUCCCCUCCACCUGCACACACACAAGAUGCCUGUGAAAGAAGCGGCGUUGAUGGGCUGCGGCGGCGGAGGAAUACCCCUCUGCUUGCGGCGUUUCAAUUCCCCUAGUUGCAGCUUCCUUAUCUCAUUAAAGCCACAAUUAGUAAAUCGAAGUGGUAUUCAACCCAACUUCUCGACUGCCUUCACCAAUCAACGCUCAUUUCUUGCCAAAACCCAUCAUCAUCCAAGACUCAGGUUCGUGCUCAGAGCCGCCGAGUCAACUCAGUCACCACCAUCCGCCACAGCAGGAACCGCCGGCAAAUCCAUUGUCCCCGAUGAAGAGUUUUCACUAGCCAAGGUUCUGUUUUUGUUCUUGUUCGUGUUAUAUUUGGAUAGUUUUUAUUUCUUUAUUAUGGUAAAUGAAGGUAGAAAAUGAAGUGUGUGUCAUAAUCUAUGUAAUAAAUUAAGUGAUUUAUUUUGUGUAAUUAUAGAACUUUAAAAUAUUAGCAUUGUCAUAUGGUUUAAUAUUCUUUUCAAGUGUCACCAUAUUAGGCUUUAGAAAAUUGAAUAUAAUAACAAUUCGUUAGAAAAAGUCAAUUUGAUUUUGUCAAGAAUGCUUGCAUCUUGGGUUGGAUCCCAAAUAGUUAACCAAUUAGCNNNNNNNNNNNNNNNNNNNNNNNNNNNNNNNNNNNNNNNNNNNNNNNNNNNNNNGAGUCAGACCUUGAUGCAGCUCAGGCAUUACUCAGUUCGUCUCAAAGCCCUUAAAGUUUCCGCUAGCAAAAAGGCAUAUUUCAGUGUAAAGUUUUAUGCAUGCGCGAGAGAAGCCAAAGGCCUUAGUCUGUGCUAGUUCCCUCCUUAUUAGUUUAUAUGAAGUGUAUACAUUUCUUACGGAGUGUUCCAAGUCACUUCCUAAGGGCAUUCCUAGACCGAAGGGAGUGGGUUAAAUAGCUUGACCUGCCGAGGAACGGAUGAUGGAAUGAGGGGGAGAGGAAGAGAAAAACUAUUAAGACUACUUUUAGCUACAAGCCUUUAUAGCGUAAUUAAGCCAACCAACAAGUCAAUUGCACAAACACCUUAAAAACUAUAAUAGUACCUGAAACUUCUCUAGCUAAUAGAGAUCCCGCUUCAGAAGCAGAAAGAGCAGCAAGAUACCGAAGGUCGGGUUCUUCCUCUUCCUUUAAUAAGAUAAGGCUAUUUCUCGUGUAAAUGGAAAGUUACUAAACUCUCUUUAGAUGCCUGAGAUCAUUCUUUUUAGAGGUAAUAGAACAAUCAAUUGAAUAUUGAUUAGGAUUAACUAAUCGGACACUACUUGUGAAUGACUCUUCUACUUCGAAACGAAAUGUUCCUAGAAAUUUUUGCUCCCAUUGGACCAGUUAGCUAUUAGUUCAGCUCUUCCCUGAUAAUUGUGUCAUCGUGUCUAGGUUGUGAGGGCUUUCAGCCACAUGGAUAGAUUACAACCAAGCCAUUUGGCUAAUUGAAGAACUAAAAUGAGAAUCAAAUACAUGGAAACCAAAUUAGUUCUGGUUUCUUCUAGUAUUUAUAAUAAAUUUGGUUUCUUCUAGUAUUUAUAAUAAAUUUACAUGAUUUUAAUGAAUCAAGAAGUUGAUCUGUUUGUCGUGAUGUGAUCCUUUUUUUACUCAAUUUUACGCAGUUUUCCUUUAUAAUAACUAACUUUUAACUAUUAUGUUCAGGUCUCUUUUGGUGUCAUUGGAUUGGGCCUUGGAGUUUCACUUCUCUCGUAAGUAUAUUUUAUUGUUUAUGCAUGGAACACUCUGCUCUUGUUGGACAACCAUUACAGUUGAAAGAAACUAGACCUAUAUCCCAUAGGGGACAUUAUUGAGAUGGAACAACUGUUGUUUCCCGAAAAUUUUAUAUGUCCUCUACAUUUCAAUAAUUAUAAAUUGAAAAAAUAGAUGAAUUGUACACAAAGAUAGAUAAGACGAACUAAUCCACCUCAUGAUGCCAUUUCAUGUUGGUAUUCGUAUGGACAUCACGUAAGCAACUAGUGACUCAAUCACGAUAAACAGUACUACAAGUUCAAUGUUACAUCAUAACUUCUCAUCUACAUUGACCAUAUUGCUGCUUGACCAGCCAAUUAAGUCUCACUCAAUACCAUUAUAUUUUCAUGCAUGACCAAUGCAUCAACCCAACCAAGAAACUAGGUCAUUGGUUGGACUGCUGGUUGCUUGGUAGAGAAUUGUAUAGGAAAAAGUCAAGCGAUACUAUUGGAUUUUAUUUGUAGUUUCAUAUUGGCUUCCAUAUAUAGAUUGUGUAGCAGUGGAAUUUCUUGUCAUAUCCUAGAAACCAGACCAUUGAUUGGUAAUUUUCUUCAAUUCUUCAAUAUUCAUUCUUUUCCUCAUUGUUGUCUACAUCAUAUUAAACAAAAAUUUUGAAGUUCAGUCAUUUUUAUUCUUUGCCCCUUCAUUUCCAAAAGCAUAUAUGACAUGAAAAGUAUCAUAAAUCUUGACUUGGGCUUCUGUGCACAAUGCAGUUAUGGUUUUGGUGCAUAUUUUAAUAUUCUCUCAGGAUCUGAAUGGUCUGCACUGAUGCUGACAUAUGGCUUUCCUCUAGCCAUCAUCGGCAUGGCUCUCAAGGUUAAUCUGAUUUUCUUCCAAUUUUUAAUGUAAAAUUUUCAUUUUAGAGUAUUUGAUUCCUACUGGUUUUUAAUGCCAGGUUAUUCACUUCUACAUACUUUUUAUUCAUUGGAACUGGUUUUUACAUUUUAAUCAUUAGGUGAUGUGUGAGAAAGCAUACAACUCUAGUGAUUCCAUUUGCUGUUCUCAAGAAAAUAAUUAUGAUUGCUUUAUAUUAUGGCCUGACUCAUGAUAUCUGUCAUUAUUUUGCAGUAUGCGGAGCUUAAACCCGUGCCUUGCUUGACAUAUUCAGAUGCUCAGAUGCUGAGGGAAAAAUGUGCGACUCCAAUUCUCAAGCAGGUAAAGUUCACUUUUUUUGUUAUACGAUUCUCUAAGGCUAGGCAAGGCUAUCUCAUCUCCAGUUAUUUUCGGGUUUAAAUUAUAAGUGGCAAUCUGUUCAAAAAAAUAAAUAAUAUUAAGGUGGACUGCUGUUAAUCUCAUGUGUUUGCCUAGUUUGCUCCCUCAUUUGCGUGAGAAUGACAUUUUGUCAUAUUUUUAGGUCAGAAGUGAUGUUACAAGAUACCGUUAUGGGGACGAGCAACAUUUGGAAGAAGCUUUAAAGCGAAUCUUCCAAUAUGGAAUGGUAGUUAAUUUCCUCAUUCAAAAUAAUGUCAUUUCCUGUAGCUUAUUUUCCCUAUUCUUUUUGUAGCGAGAAAUAGAGACGUUUGGAGUUGGAUCGAGUGUCUUUUUUUAAUUAACACAGCCAAACCAAUACACUACAACUUACAAAGCUUGAAAAACUUUCGAUUUCAUAAUUGCUCAAAUGUUAUUAUCUUCUGUUGCUUCUUGUUGCUUUAACAUCCAUUUGUUCAUGAAACCACCCUUCACCACGAGUGCAAACUAAAUUUUACAUGUCAAAAACAUUGCAUGCAUUUAAUGUGUAUCAGAAGAUUGUUGAUAUGAAAGGGGUUUUUUUUGGCUUUUCAAUCAGGGUGGAGGAAUUCCACGAAGGAGUGCACCAGUACUGCAAAUGAUUCGUGAAGAAGUACGCCACUUAAAUUCUCUUUGUUUUCCGAGCAUUACAGCACUAUUUAUACUGUUCUUUGAGCUUUCAGCUAUAGCACGUGUAGUAGCAUUUUGAUCGUUUUAAUACUUCAUAUGAAUGAGUAGGCCAAAAGAGGCUCUCAUUCAUGAUUGACAAUAACAUGUUAGAAAAGAGAGUGGACCAAAAUCGCUGAAAAUCUAGUUGCUUUAGAUUACAUAGAUCUAGAAAUGAACUGAACAGAGUGGUGGAAAAUGCUGACGCCAAAUUUUCUGGGAACUCCAAUAUUUUUAUAUGAAUAGCUUUCACUACAAAAUGAUUUUACCUGAUUUGUGCUCUGUCAAUUCCAUGAGCGGUUCAUUUGUUCUUUCUAGUCUUAUGAAUUUGCUUCUCUCUUUGAGGUUACGGAGGAUGGUAAAUACCGUUUAGUUUUGGUGUUUGAGGCGAAAGCCUUGCAGUUGUCAGAUUUUGAACAAAGACAGGUGAGAAGAUUUACUUUUUAAGUCUUUGAAAUCUCUAAGGUUGCUUUGCUUUUGUUAUCAAAAAAGCUCCCUAACUUUUUUUCCGCAACUUUUCUGAUUUCUAGGCCAAAUUUACUUCUUUCUUUGGACCGGGGAUCACAGCCGAAGUUUGUAAGUUCUAAAACCUCAAGUUGCAUGAUAAUACAUUGUAUAUUAAAUAAGCUCGAACAUGUCAUUAAGAGAAUAGAUUUUGAGUCGGAGCUCUUCAAUCUAAUAUCAGUGAAUUUGUGGGUGCAGCGAAGGGAGAAAAAGAUUUAUACGAGGUUCGGCUAAUUUCCAAUACAACAUUGUAGAUCUUUGUGAAACUUCUGCAAGUCUUUUGCAUGAAAUUUACAGUUUCAGAUCAUUACUGUAAUCUUCCUCAGGGAAAUCUGUACAUUUAUGUGACCCCAUUGUACAGUACUUUUUUAUUGAAUAUAACAGGAACAAACUUAUAACACUAUCUUUUUAUUGUAUUAAAAAAAUAAAUUGAUUUGUCAAUAAGUUGGUUAAGAAAAUUCCAAGAAAAAGCAUAAGUUGGGUAAAAUCCGCUAAACUCAAGAUAAUUCUUCUUUAAGUCAUCCUAAACUUAGCUGAGUUAGAAAAGUGACAGUUUUUGUCCUAAUCCUUUCCCAUACAUUCAAGUAAUUCCUCAAAAUUAUGAGUCCUAUAAUUGAAUAUGAAAACUUCAUGUCGCAUAAUUUAUUAACAAUUCUAUUCGAUGAUAUUUCAUGUAAUUUUAUGUGUUUUGAUAGUGGAGUUCAGAAACAUGGAAUUAAGAGUAAAUAUAUGGUAUCAGUGAAACACAACACAAACUUAAAAGCAAACUCCAAUUAAAAAAAUAGUGUGCAAUUGUCAAAACUAUGAAAAAUAACUGUUUGUAACUCUACUUCCUAAAGGGGAAGGCUAUAGAUCUGUUCUCUGAUACAAACACCAACUAAAAACUGGAAAAUAAAAAAUAAAAAUUAAUUAAUUAACAAAAUCAGACUUGUUCCAUCUUGAUUGCUGUAUUGACUGGAUCAUUAGGAUCAUUUCUAAUAAUCCAGUGAUCUCUCCAGACUUGCGUCAUUUCUUCAAUAGGAGUGUUCUUUGUCUCAGGCAUGAAGAAGUGACAAAAGACGGUCAUUGGCGCCACAAAGAAUGCGAAGAAGAUGAAGAGACCAAACUUCAUCGUGCACAACAUUGAAAGAAAUACCUGAGCUAUUAAGAAUGUGAAGAACAUGUUCACCGCCACGUUAACACUCUGACCAACUGACCUGAUCUCCAAUGAGAUGAUCUUGCUUGGAUAGAUCCAUCCCAACGGCCCCCAAAACCAUGCAAAACCAGCAACACAGAUGCAGAUGCCUAUCACCACCACUGUGGUAGCUGCGUCACAUCUCCCGUCGCACCAAAUUUGGCCCCAAUAAGUGCUGCAACUGCAAUUUGUAUCGUCAAGUAUCAGCAAAAGAUAGCAUUUAGCAAAGACCAUGUAUAGAUAAUAUGACUGCAAGUGUAUUAGAAAUAUGCUAAUGUAUUACCUGAGAGAUGAGCAUUUGGACACCUCCUUCAGGAAAUAGAGUUGUUCAGCCCCACUUAUCAGCAAAUGCAAUAGAUACACCAGUCGCCAAGGCAUUUAUGAUGCUGGUAAUAGCAGCUGACAUUAGAGAAGCAUCGCUUCCAAAUCCAAUGGUUUUAAAGAGCACAGGGGCAUAGAACAUAACCACGUUGAUUCCAGUAAGUUGUUGAAAGAAAGGGAUCAAGAUGGACAUAACCAACUGAGGACGAUAGCACCGCCUCUUGAAGAGAUUUUGCCAUGGAUUCUGCAUUAGUCUUGCUUCAUUCUUGGCUGCAAGAAUAUCAUUGAAUUCAGCAUCAACGAUUUCAACUUCACGAAUGCGCUUGAGUAGUGCUUUUGCUUCCUCUUCCUUUCCCCUAUCCACAAGAGUUUGGGGUAUCGUAGAGGAAAAAAGAUGCAACAAUGAUGAUGACAGCAGGAACGCCAGCCAAUCCCAGGCUGAGCCCCAUCCCCAGCCACCCUCAAUCUUAGCAAAGAUAUAGUUGAAUAGGUUGGCUGUCAAUAUUCCAAUUGUGAUUAUCAAUUGAAAGCAAACAUUAAAUGUGCCACGCCAAUUAUAUGGAGACAUCUCCGAUAGAUAAAGAGGCGCGGACUGCGUAAUUAAUAGAAUCAAAACAAAGAUAUACUAAUGACCCAAAUUUUAAAUCAACACAAAUAGUAAAUUCUGAUACAAAUCGAUUAUGUUACCUGGUUAACAAAGCCAACGCCAAUGCCCAAUAAAACACGGCCUAUGGUUAGCAUACUGACGUGCACAGCCGCCGCAUUAAUGAUGGCAUCAACAAAGAAAUCCAUAAUAUAUUGUAUUUUAUCAUACUUUUCGACUUAUAUCUUGUUUUCUUUUGUACUUUUCGAGUUAUAUCACAGCAAUUCAACUUUACAUUCUGCAGAAUUAUCGUUCAUGCAUGUUCACUAUUGGGCUGUGAUGCCAAUUUGUUUGGUGGUCCGGUCCAUUUGGGUGAUGAUGAAACUUUGAUCCAACAUAUACUACUCAGCACAUUGCCCAAUAACGCAAUGUUUAAAUGUGCUAUGGCCCGGCCCAAACCUUAUGAUACGUGUGUGUGGCUCUGGACCCUUAGAUAUCGUAAACCUAACAUCUAUGGUGAUGACUAUUUCUAUAUAUUAGUUGGUUUGAGAUAUUUUUGGCCCAUUUGUUUCAUUAUUCUUGGGUCUCUUCGUGUGCUAUGUAUGGAAUCUUCUAGGUCGUCUCUCAUUCGAGACUUGGUGUCACUGCCAUUUCUUCUUCUUUGUGAUUCUUGUUCUUUAGGCCAUAAACUUCUGGUUUUUUUGGUGAAUUUACGAGUGUUGAAUCUUGGUGAUUUCAAUUUGAAAGGGUUGUGUUGGAGUUUUGGAGAGAUUUGGUCUAUUAAGUUACUACCUUUGUGUCGUGGUUUGGGGCUAUGGUUUGAGAGCUAUUAAACAUUGUAUAGACAGCUAUAAUGCUAGUUUUGAGCCCAGUCGAUGAGAACUUGAUGCCUUUGGUUUCGUCCGUGUUCUAUAAUACUUGAGUCGAUCUUGGGCCUUGAACUGUAACAGUGGUAUUAGAGCCUCUAUAGGUUGUUUGAGUCUCCAUUUCUGAUCUUCAGUUGUGGGAAAUUAAUUUUCACGACCGAAUCUUGUGAGAUCCGACAAUUGGCAGUAACCUUAGAUUCGAUUGGUAACGAAUAUUGGUUCGGUUUAUGAUCCUUUACCCUUUUAAUUUAUUAUCAUUUGUUGUUAAGUGGUUUUUUGCAAGAAUAAUUUGGAUUUUGAAUUUCUUGGUGAAUCAGCCUGAAAAUGCUUGGGUACUUUGUGUGAUUCUCAAGUUGCUGGUCGAAGUCUCUAACUCUCUCAUCUUUUACCUGUGAUAUAUGCUAUAUUACUAAGUGUUCUUGAAUUUGGUGUAUAUUGUAUACAUUUUUCUUCAUUCUUGUGUUUUGCCUAUUGUUUAAUCUUAGUGAUUGUUUACUGAUUCUUUGUUUUUUAAUCCUUUACACUUUCACCACACUACUGUGUACUUGAAUUGAGCUUUGACCUAAGGUCUUUGAGCCUUACGGAAUCCUGGUGAAUUCGAGACACAUCUCAGUAUCUUGAAGUGAUCAGUUAAAUCUCUGAAUUGGUUACUGUGAGAAUUAAUGGUAGAUCAUUGUGAUAACAUAAGUUAUUUUAUUCUUUUAAUCCCUCUAAUAUAUAGAGGUUUUAAUAGGACUACAAGAAGUAAAGAUAAACACAAACUCCUACUACAAGAAUUAGAGAUAAACACAAACACCUAACAAGAUUUUAUCUACAUCCUAUGAAAGGAUAAAGAAUCUUAUAUAAUAGAAAAAAUUAUCUAAUAAUAAACAUAAUCAAGAAGAUAGCCAUAGAAGAACUCUUUGUGUCAACACUCCCCCUCAAGCUGGGACAUAAAUGUCUAUCAUUCCCAACUUGUCAAGUAAGCUCUCAAAGAUAGGUUUUGCCAAGCCCUUGGUCAACAUAUCAGAACUUGUGUUGUUGGGACAUAAGCCAUAUAAAUUACACCACUUUCAAUCUUCUCUUUCAAAAAAUGUUUUGUUCGAUCAUGAUGAACCGAAUUAUUGGCAAUACUAAUCGUAGCUUUAUUAUCACAAAAUAAUCUUAUGGGGUCUGAAUUUGGAAGAUUCAAUUCUUGAAGAAGUCUUCUAAGCCAAAGCAGUUUACAGGUCCCAUUUGCUAAGGCACGAAACUCAACUUUUGCACUACUUCUCGCCAUCACAGAUUGUUUCUUGCUCCUCCAAGUAACCAAAUUCCCCCAAACCAUGGUACAAUAUCUUGAAGUUGACUUCCUAUCAUCAACAGAACCAGCCCAGUCAGCAUCUGUAUACCCCUCAAUAUAUCUUUUAUCAGUCUUACCAAAAAAUAAUCCCUUUCCUGGAGUAGCUUUCAAAUACCUCAAAAUCUUAUAAACUGCUUCCAGAUGUUCUUGAUAAGGAUUGUGCAUAUAUUGGCUUACCAAGCUCACGGCAAAUGAGAUAUCUGGUCGUGUAUGGGCUAAGUAGAUUAACUUUCCCACAAGUCGUUGGUAACUCCCCCUAUCUACAAGAUUAGAACCUUCCUUACUAAACUUCAUAUUUUAAUCGAUUGGAGUAUAAGAAGGUUUACAUCCAAGCAUUCCAGUCUCUUUUAAUAAGUCAAGGACAUAUUUUUUCUACGAAAUAGAUAUCCCUCUUUUUGAGCAAGCCACUUCCACACCUAAGAAGUAUCUUAACUGACCAAGAUCUUUUAUUUCAAAUUCCUUCCCAAGUAUUUCCUUGAGCUUUGCUGAUUCCUCCAAGUCAUUUCCAGUAAGAAUAAUAUCAUCUACAUAUACAAUCAAGAUUGAGAUCUUACCACUCAUGGAAUGUUUAAAAAAUAGUGUAUGAUCUGACUGACUUUGAGCAUACCCAUUAUUCCUUACACACUUAGUAAAGCGAUCAAACCAAGCUCUCGAAGAUUGUUUGAGACCAUACAGUGACUUCUUCAGCUUACACACCCUAUUCUUGUUUCUUUCUUCAUACCCAGGAGGUAAAUUUAUAUAUACCUCUCUCUCCAGUUCUCCAUUGAGGAAAGCAUUCUUAACAUCCAUCUGACAAAGCGGCCAGUCUAAGUUUGCUACCAUAGAUGGCAGGACUCUAAUGGUAUUGAGUUUUGCUACUGGAGCAAAUGUUUCAUUAUAAUCCACACCAAGGGUUUGAGUAAACCCUUUUGCCACUAAAUGAACCUUGUAUCUUUCCAAAGUUCCAUCCAACUUGUACUUGAUCGUGAAUACCCAUUUACAUCCCACGGGUUUUUUUCCUUUAGGUAAAUCCACAACUUCCCAAGUAUUGUUUUUUCUUAAAGCUUGCAUUUCUUCAACUACUGCCUCUUUCCAUUCUGGUUUCUGGAUAGCUUGUUAAAUAGUACCAGGAACUUCUUCCCUUCCAAUUCUCUCACUGAUUGCACGGAAUGAGGCUGAUAACCUGGUAUUUGAUACAAAAUUCCCAAUAGGAUGAAGAGUGCAGGUUCAGGUUUUCUUCCGACGGGCUAUAGGCAUAUUAAGUUCAUUAUUCUCAAUGUCCACAUCUUCAAUUGAAACUAAAUUCUCUUCCUUCUCAGCUCUACGAGUUUCCUCAGUCAGAUUUUCUCUUGAUUCAACAUCUUGGCAAUGCUUUAGUGAUGUGACAGGAUGUAUUAUUGGUGUAGACUGGUUUCUCCUAGAGUAAACACGAAGCUCGAAACCACUUUCAACCUGCUACGAAUCUGUACCUGUUUCCAAUGAUUUUGUUAAUGGCAUAUUAGGUAAAGGAGAUAAUUUUGAUGAAGGCAUUGGCUGUGAUGAAGGUGUUGGUUGUAGAGUAUCUAUAGAUAUUGGCAAGGGCUGAUUUUGUGGUACAUUCAACUCCCUAAGAUAAUCUUCUCCAUUAGGCGUCUCCCCCUGAAGAUUAGUUUUCUUAUAGUAUGAUUGUUCCUUAAAGAAUGUAACAUCUCGUGUAACAAACAAUUUUUUAAUGUUGGACUGUAGCACUUGUACCCUUUUUGAUUAGGAGCAUAUCCUAUAAAGAUGCAUUUUGUAGCCCUGGCAUCCAAUUUACUUAAGUGUGAUGUAUGGACAAAGGAAAGACAACCAAAUGUUCUAAUAGGCAAGGAGGUGAAAAGUCAUGUUUGAGGAUACAAAUUUUGGAAUGUUUGAAGUGGUGUUUGGUAACUAAGAACUCAUGAAGGAAGUCGAUUGAUAAGGUAUGAUGCUGUAAGGACAGCUUCCCCCCAAAAUUUUUUUGGAAUAUUAUUUGUAAACAUGAUUGCCCUAGUGACUUCUAGAAGGUGUCUAUUUUUCCUUUCAACAAUUCCAUUUUGUUGUGGAAUUCCUACACAAGUGCUUUAAUGAACUAUGCCAUGUUUUGACAGAUAUUGGCCCAGAAUUGAAUUGAAGUAUUCAAGUUCAUUAUCGGUACGAAGAAUUUGAAUAUGUGUUUGGAACUGUGUUUUGAUCAUUUUGUGGAAGUUUUGGAAGGCAUUAGCAGUAUCUGAUUUUUCCUUUAAUAGGAAUGUCUAACAUAGACGUGUGUGGUCAUCAAUGAAUGUUACAAACCACUUAGCUCCUGUAAUAUUAGCAACUCUCGAUGGUCCCCAACUAUUUCUAUUUCGAAACAAGAGGGGGAAUAAUUUCUUUAAAUAAGCAAAGAUAGGGUGUCCUAAUCUAUUAUGCCAUAACAUAAUUUUAUUGAAAAUAGGAAUAGAUUCACUGCUUGAAGUGAGAGCUUGUUUAUUCACAGAUUUUCCACCAUAAUUGAAGAAUACAGCCCGUCAACCUCUUCAGCAUUGCCAAUCGUCUUCCUCGAGAUCAAAUCCUGAAACUCACAUCGAGAAUUAUAGAACUUAGCCACACAAUUUAAAUCCUUGGUUAAUUUGCUAAUUGAAAGAAGAUUACAUAUAAGCUUAGGAACAUGCAAGACAGAAUGUAAUUCUACACUGUCUGUUAAAAAUAUUGUGCCUUUUCCAGCAACUGAAGAUAAAGUUCCAUCAACAAUUCGCACUUUAAAGGUUCCCGGGCAAGGAGUAUAAGUUUUAAAUAAGUGGUGACAUCCAGUCAUAUGAUCCGAUGCCCCAAAAUCAAGUAUCCAUAGGUUGAUCGAAUCAGAUUUUGUAAUAAGUGCAGAAUGAUAAUUACCUCGCUGUGCUAAAGUACAGUUCGAUUUUGAUUGGGAGUUGGAUUGUGUACGAGCCAGAAGUAAUUCAUCUAUUUGCUCACUACUAAAGGCCAAACUAAUGAAGUUAGAGACAAAACUAGUGCCAUGUGUUUUCUCCUCUUUAGCUGCCUGAAAAACCCGAUUAUCACCCAACUUUCAUGGCUUCCAGUUUGCUGGUUUCCCAUGUAAUUUCCAGCAAGUAUCUCAUUUGUGAUUAGAUUGUUGACAAUAGUCACACCACAAGUUUUUUUGUGGCCCCUUGUGCCCCGCAAAAUUGGACUUUGAUCUUUAAAUCCCUAGUUCCUGUUGGCUAUUAAAGCUGAAUUCUGCAUCUGAUUCUCCAUACCAGAUUCACAAACACCACCCAUCAUGACUCUUUUCCUGCUUUCUUCUUUUCUUACUUCAGCAAAUGCCUCUUUAAUGCUCGGCAAUGGUUUAGCUCCAAGGAUCUUCCCUCUUACUUCAUCCAGGUCCUUAUUGAGCCCAUGUAGAAAAUCAAAUACCCUCUCCUUUUCAAGGUUCGUCAUGUUUUUUUGGCUACAGUUUGUACAGUUCUCAACAUCUCCGAAUAGAUCUAGCUCCUGCCAUAGCCCAGUCAAAUUCGAAAAGUACUCUGUCACAGAAGAGGCACCUUGUUUCUGAUCUUUCAAGGCUGAUUUCAAUUCGAACAACUGAGCUGAAUUCCCGAUAUCUAAAUACAUGUCUUUUACUGUUUCCCAGAUGUCUUUUGCAGUUUUGUAAGAAAGGUAAUUUCGUCCAAUCUUCUUCUCCAUGGAAUUAACCAACCAUGCCAUUACCAUGGAGUUUUCAGAUUCCCAUGUUGAAUAAGAGUUGUCAUUUUCCGCAGGUGCAGGAAUACUUCCUGUAAGGUAUCCAACUUUCCCUUUGCCUCGAAUGACCAUAAGGAUAGAUUGUGACCAAUCAAAGUAGUUUGAUCCAUCAAGUUUAUGUUGGGUUAUUUGAAGUGAAUGAUUUUCGACACCGAACACUUGAGAAGGGGUCGAAGAUGUGGGUGUAGUACUUUCUAUAUUUGAGGAUUCGACUGAACCAGUGAAGGCCCGGUUUGCCAUUGAAGAGGUAGCAAGAAAGAGCCAAACCGUAGCUCUGAUACCAUGUGAGAAUUAAUGGUAGAUCAUUGUAAUAACAUAAUUUAUUUUAUUCAUUUAAUCCCUCUAAUAUAUAGAGGUUUUAAUAGGACUACAAGAAGUAAAGAUCAACAUAAACUCCUACUACAAGAAUUAGAGAUAAACACAAACACCUAACAAGAUUUUAUCUACAUCCUAUGAAAGGAUAAAGAAUCUUAUAUAAUGGAAAAAAUUAUCUAAUAAUAAACAUAAUCAAGAAGAUAGCCAUAAAAGAUAAAACUCUUUGUGUCAACAGUUACUUUUUUUUUUUUUACUUUCCCAUUGUGUUAUAUCCCCCUGAGAUUUUAUAUAGUGUGUGAUACUUUGUGUUGUCAUAUAUAUUCUGUGAAAUAUCUGCUUGUUACUUCUGACUGAAUUGUAACCUUCAAAUAUUUCUUGUGUUGAUUAAAAAUUUCAAAUGACAACGACAACGUUUGAACUUGGAGUUUUAUUGGAAAAUGGGAUUUUCCCAUUUGGCAGUAAAAAGUGAAGAGGAUUUUGGUUCAACAGAAGUUAUAUAAAGCUAUAACUGGUAAAUAUCUUGCAACUAUGUCUGAUGAACGAAAAACUAAAUUUGAUGAGUUUGCCUAUACUUCCAUUAUUCUUCACUUAUCUAACCAAGUAUCAAGGAAGGUAGGAAAAUUAAAUAAUGCUAAAGAUUUUUAGGAGAAACUUGAAGAACUUUAUUUGGUAAAAUCAUUGGAAAGAUUCUUUAGUUUCAAAAUUGACUUGUCCUGAGACUUAGAUGAUAAUUUUGACAUUUUUAAUAAACUGGUCCAAGAUAUAACUAAUGCUGGGGAUAAAUUAUCUGAAGAGUAUAAGGCUGUGAUUCUUUUAAAUUCCAUACCUAAUGUGUAUGAAGAUGUUAAAAUAACUAUUAAGUAUGGCUGAGAGUCUUUAACACCUGAGAUAGUCAUUCAUGCUUUAAGAAGUAAAGAAUUUGAAGUUAAAUCUGAGAGGCAUGUCAAGGAGAGUGAGAAUCUAUUUGUGAAAGGUAUAUCAUUGACUAGACAUAUUAAUACUCAAGUUAACCAAAAUUAUUAGGGGAAUAAUGCCUCUAAGAAGAAGGGGAAGGAUAGAUAAAGGUCAAAAUCUAGAAAUGGAGCUAAGAAAUGCUAUGAUUGUGGCAAGACAGGAGAGGUUAAAAUUGAUGAAAGGAAUGUAGUUGAGCCUCUAGGUAAGGAUAUUGUUGAUGUCUAUGUUGUCACUGAGUCCACAUCUGAUUUGAAUACUGUAAGUUAUGCAGAUAAUUCAAGUCAGAGUGUAAAGUGGAUCUUAGAUUCAGGUUGCACUUUUCAUAUGUCUUCUAGGAAGCAUUCGUUGCUUGACUUUAAGGAUUUAGAUAGAGGUGAGGCGGUUAUGGGCAAUAAUGCAACCUACAAAGUGUUGGGGAUAGGCAAUAUGACUUUAAAAUUUGAUAAUGAGUACACAUUUACCUUAGAAAGGGUGAGGUAUGUACUAGAUUUAAAUAGAAAUUUAAUUACAAUUGGGAACUUAGAUAGCAUAGGUAUCCAAGGAAAAUUUGGAGAUGGUUUCUUGAAAAUAGUUAAGGGAUCCUUAGUUAUUUAACUAUUUUCAAGGGCAUUAAAAGAAAUGGAAUCUAUGUCACUAAGGCUAAUGUUUUGAGUCAAACUGUAGAAUCCUCUAUGGUUAGAUUGAUGCAACCUUAAAAUGGCAUAAUAGGUUAACUCGUGUGAGUGAGAAAGGCUUACAUAUCUUAAGUCAAAAUGGUGUCUUUGGUAGUGAUGUGAUUUCUAGAAUUCUCUUUUGUGAAUAUUGUGCCUUAGGCAAACAUCAUAGACUUCAUUUUAGUACAGGGAAACAUAAGACUACAUCUAUCCUAGACUAUAUACAUUCUGAUUUGUGGGGUCCAUCAUCCACCACCUUUUAAGAUGGGAAUAUAUACUUUUUAUUCUUAAUUGAUGGUUUUUCAAGAAAAGUAUGGGUAUUUCUUUUGAAAUAAAAAUCAAAUACCUUUGAAAAAUUUAAAACUUGGAAAACUUUGAUUGAAAAUCAAAUAGAUAAAAAGAUUAAAAUCCUAAGAACUGAUAAUGGAUUAGAAUUUUGCAAUGUUGAUUUUGAAAAAUUGUGUAAGGAUGAUGGGAUUUUGAGACAUAAAACAAUAUCGCAUACCCCACAACAGAAUGGUAUAGCUGAGAGGAUGAAUAGGACCAUCUUAGAUAAGCUUAGAUGUAUGAUGUUUAGUUCUGAUGUCCCUAAAGUGUUGUGGAGGAGGCUGUUAUGACAGCUGUUUAUAUCAUAAAUAGGACCUCAACUAGUUCAUUAGAUUGUAAGACACCUGAGGAAGUGUGGACAGGUAAGAUGGCUGACUAUACACACUUGAGAACCUUUGGUUGUGCAACUCAUUACACCAAAGUGUUGGAAAACUUGAACAUAAAUCCCAAAAAUAUGUUUUCAUGGAAUAUCUAGAAGGCAAUUCCCGUAAUCAACCUCUUAGAUUUAAGGCCAGAUUAGUGAGUAAGGGGUUUAUCCAAAAUCCUGGUAUAGAUUACAAUGAAAUCUUUUCUCCAGUAGUGAAAUAUACUAAAAUAAGAGUCAUGCUUGCAUUAAUUGCACAAUAUGAUCUUGAAUUGUAGCAAAUGGAUGUUAAAACUACGUUUUUACAUGGUGACCUUGAUGAAACCAUAUAUGAAACAUCCACAAGGUUUCAUGGAUAAUAAAAAAUUUGAUCAUGCAUGCCUCUUAAAAAUAUCACUUUAUAGCCUAAAACAAUCUUCUAGAUAAUGGUACAAACGUUUUGAUAACUUUGUGUCUUCAGUCAGCUUUGUGAGAAGUUCAUUUGGCUAUUGUUUGUAUAUUAAAAGAGAUAACGACAACUGUGUGAUUGUUUUCUUGUUCUUAUAUGUGGAUGAUAUAUUGUUAAUUGGCAAAAAGAUAAGUGAUAUAAAUGAUAUUAAAAAGGUGCUAAGUGCUGAAUUUGAAAUGAAGGACUUAGGACAUGCUAAAUGGAUUUUAGGAAUGGAUAUUAAGAGAAAUAUGUCACAGUAAUUACUAAUUUUGUCACAAACUGAUUAUGUGAAAAAGGUACUAUCUAAAUUUUCUAUGCAUGAUGCUAAACUUGUGACAUUACCCUUGCAUGUCAUUUUAAGUUGAGUAAAAAUCAAUGCCUACAUGAUAAAUCUGACAUGAAAUAUAUGGAAAAAGUGCAUUAUUCAAAUGUUGUUGGAUCUGUCGUGUACACCAUGGUAUGCACCAGUCCUGAUGUUGCAGAUGCUAUAAGUACCUUAAGCAGAUUUAUAUCCAAUCCAGGCCCGGAACAUUGGACUGCUAUGAAAUGGUUAUUAAGGUAUCUUAAAGAUUCUGCAGACUUAGGCUUAUGUUUGAAACCUAGUAAAGAGGUAGUUAGUUUUAAAAGAUUUUUAGACUCUGAUUAUGCGGGUUAUAGGGAUAACAUGAAGUCAAUUACAACUUAUAUGUUUACUUAAUGUGAUACUUAUAUAAGUUAGAAGUCUCAAUUGCAAUCAAUUGUAGCUUUAUCAACUACAGAAGCUGAGUAUGUGGCUGAUACCGGAGCUAUUAAAGAGGCCUUAUGGCUGAAGGGUCUUCUAAAUGAGGUAAAUGAACCUAUUAAUCAUGUUGUGUAUAUUUAGAUAGUCAAAGAGCUAUGCAUUUAUGUAAAAAUUCAGUUUUUCAUGAAAGAACAAAACACAGAUGUAAGAAUGCAUUUUAUAAGAGAGAUAGUUCAAAAGGAAUCUAUUUUGCUUGAGAAAUCCCUACUCAAUUUAACCAUACUAAUAUGGGUACAAAGGUACUUCCUCUAAAUAAGUUUAAGUCAUAUUUGCAAAUGUUAAGAAUUAAUACUGAGUAAUCUUUGUGUUGGUGAAGGUGUAUUAACUUGGCACUGAUGAUCUGGAAGGAAUUAUAUCAAUUGCAUUGAGAAGUCUAUUGUUAUACUUUCUUUUCUUUGUGAUUUUUUGAUUAUUGGCAUCAAGGGAAAGAUUUAUUAGGCUGUGAUGCCAAUUUGUUUGGUGAUCCGAUCCAUUUGGACGAUAAUGAAGCUUUGAUCCAAUAAAUACUACUCAGCCCAUUGCCCAAUAAUGCAAUGUUUAAAUGUGCUACCACCUGGCCCAAGACUUAUAAUACACGUGUGUGGCUCUGGACUUUUAGAUCUCCUAAAUCGAACAUCUAUAGUGAUGACCAUUUCUAUAUAUUAGUUGGUCUGAGAUACAUUUGGCCCACUUGUUUCAUUAUUCUUGGGUCUCUUCGUGUGCUGUGUGUGGAACCUUCUGGGUUGUCUCUCCUUCGAUACUUAGUGUCUCUACCCUUUCUUCUUCUUUGUGAUUCUUGUUCUUUAAGCCAUAAACUUCUGGUUUUCUGGUGAAUCUGAGUGUGUUGAAUCUUGGUGAUUCAUUGGUUUCAGUUUGAAAGGGUUGUGUUGGUGUUUUGCAGAGAUUUGGUCCAUUGAGUUACUGCCUCAGUGUUGUGGUUUGGGGCUGUGGUUUGAGAGCUAUUAAACAUUGUACAAGUGGGUUUGCUGGUUCUGAGCCCAAUCGAUGAGAACUUGAUGCCUUUGGUUUCAUCUGUGUUCUAUAAUAUUUGAGUCAAUCUGGGGACUUGAGUUGUAGCAUUCACUAAAUGGGAGGAUACAUUAUUGUUAACUUGGUAUAACACUCGGGAAGAAGACCUACAAAAAAGGAGAUAACGUAUACCUUAUUUCAGAAAGCUAUAAUCUUGUUCUUAUCGGACAGCAACAUGACUUUUUACUUUGUUUGAAUAUAAUACAUUUUUCAAAGUAGCAAAAUUAUCCUUAACACGAAUAAAAUCCUCCAAAAUAAAAAGUAGUAGACAAUAAUGUUGGGCAAUUUCACUUACUGCAAUAACAAUUCAUAAUCCAAGCAAAAACUAAUUAAAUACCAAGAAAUCAAUAAAUAAAGACCACAUGAAAUUUACAUGAAAAAAACCUUCUAGUGUAAAGGGAAAAAACCACGAGACAAUUCUGACCAAAUCCACUAUAAUAAAAUAGAGUUUACAAUAUUCAAGAUUAUUACCAAAACUUGAUUUCUCAACAAAUUGGAAAUACAACAAUAAUCAAUCUCUAAAACAAUAAAUAAUCUCACCACAAAUCAACAAUUUGAUAAAUCCUGUGAGAUAGCCACUUUGAAUACUAUACCCAACUAAAGUAUCCAAAAUAAAUUCACUUAGAGAAAUCCUUAAUUUGUACUAUCUAUAGAAAUACCUAUGUGAAAUCCACUCCCAAAGAAUGAAAGAAAAACCUUUUUUCUUUUCUUUCUCUCCACCCUUGUAACCUUUGUUGUUGUUGUUUUUUUUUUAUUUAUUUAUUUAUUUAUUUUGUAGCCACAAUUUCACAUCAGUAGCCUCAAUUAUGUAUUUUUCAUAUGCAGCCACUUUUUUUUCACUAUAUAUAUGUAUAAUGUGAGCUAAAAUACAAUAUAUUAUGGAUUUUGCCUACUUAUCUUCGUAUGGGCUGGAAGCUCAUAUAAUAAUCUCUCCCUCCAGCCCACUGAGGAAGGAGAUUAUCUUCUAACAAAUUAGUUAGAGUUCAUGCAAGCCAAUUCGACACAAAGCUCAAGUUUUUCUCCGGUCACAACAUUUGUCAUCAUAUCAACUGGAUUCUUCUCAGUAUGAAUCUUCUCUAACAGUAUCAAUUGUUAUGCCACUUCUUGUCAUACCCAAUAAUAUCUCACAUCAAUGUGCUUCAUCCAAGAAUGAUAAGUAGCAUUUUUGCUUAAGUUAAUGUGCUUUGACUGUUGUAAUUAACUAUAUACCUCCAUUACACGUUUUCCUAAGAAAUGUGCACGUGCCAUAAUGGUCAGGAGAGUGAUAUUACUUUCUUGACGUCUGAGUUCAAAUCCUUGCCAUGCAAAUUUGAAGAAAAUUUUUUGCAUUACACUUUGCCAACAACUGGUUCUGAUUUCCCCUUAAACCCUUCCGAGCCAGACAAUUAUUGAAUAGUCUAACCGGUUCACUUGUAUGCUCGAUCAAUUAAUGUAAUCGGAUCGGACCGAUCGGUUCGACCCAGGAAUUGGAUAGUAGUCCGGUCCCUAUUGCCAUGGAUGGAUCUACAAUGAGGUUAGUAGGUCCUCUACCCCACACUAAAUUUUGAAAUCCAAGAUUUUGAAAGAGGUUUUUCAAGAUUUUACACAAAAAAAAAAAAAAAAAACUCUCUUAUAAUUUUCAAUUUAACCCCCCACAAUUACAAUUUUGUGAAAUUUGCACUCCACAACUCUACCUUUCUUGCUCUUCCUCUAUCUGUCUCCGUAUAGAUUAAUAAGACACAAAUAUCAUUAUUUCGAAUAGGCUAGCACAUAUUUCCCUUCUCGAGGUUAGGGACACUCGAGCAAAUAAGUGGAUGCUUGUAAGAUGAACAAGUUCAUUAGAGAGCCGCCAUGAGAUUUCACACUAGUAACUAUUUCAGUGUUAUUUUAUGUUUAUAUUAUUUGACACUGGACCCUCAAUCAGGGGAUUGUUUAUACUCAACAAUAUUUUUCUCAAAAUUGACUUUUUGGUUUAAAAAAUGAACAAAUAUAAUAGAAAAUUUUGAUUGAAUAAAACUAUGUGUAAGAGCUUAUGCUGUCUACUAUAGCCUAAUUACAACCUCUACAACAAUUUUCUCUUUAUGUCAUGUAGGGGUCUGAUGUAUCAAUACUUCUUGACAGCACUGGAACCAUAAUCAUUAGUGAGAAAAGGUCAAAUCCUAGCAGGAAUCAAGAUCGUGGAUUCGAAGUUAUUGAUGAAAUGAAAUCCGCACUCGAGAAAGAAAUUCCUCAUAAACUGAUUUUUAUACUGUGGGAUAAAAUGGCCAACAGUAAAAACUUAGAUCGUUGUCCGAAUUUUGCUAGCAGUUUCAACCUCAUGGAUCUCAAGAUAAUCUUGAAACCAUCGUCAGUUUUAGCAAGUGCGUUUCAUUAUAUCACAAAAUUGACUCAGAACGAAGCAUUGUGUCCCAAUUUUUUGUAAAUAUCAGCAAAAUUUUAGUACAGCAGAAUCCAAGUAUUAAUAAAAGAGAAUUAUGACUAAUAUAAAAAACCAUAUGAAAAUUUUUAGUUUAAAGAUUAAGGGUGUGUUUGAUAGCACAUCCUUUUUCAUGGAAAAUGGAAAAUCAAUACCAUUUUCCAACUUUUGUAGUGUUUGAUAGGUGAAAUUUUUUAUGGAAAAUGAAUUCCAUCUUUCUUGGCCACAUCAGCAUUUUCCAUUAAAACCUUGAAUUCCAAUUGAAAUUCUAGGUUACUUAGCAAUUUUUUAAUUUUUUUAAUUUUUUCAAUUUUUUUUUGGCAAUGGAAAUAAAUUCUAAGAAUUAUUGAAAAAAAAAAAUUUCCCUUUAACUGAUAAUUUCCAAGUAAAACAAAGUCAAACGAACACUAAAAUAUAGAUGAUUUUCUUUCUUUUUUUUUUUUUUUUUUGGCAAUGGAAACAAAUUUCAUACCCAAUACAAGUAAAUUCUAUUCUUUUAAUUGACAAUUUUCAUGUAAAACAAAAUCAAAAGAACAUCAAAAAACACUUUUAUUUUAACAUUUUCUACGCGGAAAAUUAUACGAAUCAAACACAAUAAUAUACAAUUCCUAACAAAACAAUUUAUAGGCAAUUUAAUUCCCUGAUAUUCGUUUUCAAUUCAAUUCAAUUCAAUUCCAUCUUUGCAAUCAAACAGACCCUAAGUAAAAACUGAAAUAUGGUUGAUGAAAUUUUAAUCAGACACCUUCAAUCCUAGUCAUAGCCAUCGAUCUAUUGACAGACACUAAGUACAAGCUGGACAAGCUUGAGAAAAGAGUUGAAUAUGACGAGCAUGUUUAAUAUAUUGGAGUGGACUGGUUCUAUGUCACGAAUCAAUAUUUCUCUUUGACGAUAUGAAUUUAUCCAGAGCAUUAUGUGUUCGAAAGAAGAUGGUGUGGAAGUACUAAAAUUUACUUGAAUGAGUAAAAGCCAGAAAAACUUUAUUAAAGCAGAAUCCAAUGUAUAAUAAAAGUGUGUAAUUACUAACAUAAAAUCUAUGUGGAAAAUUACAGUUUUGAUAAGAUCUGUGACACUGAGAUUAAGUAAAAACUGAUAAAAAAUAUUGAAUUAACAUAAUCAGACUUGUUCCUUCCUGGUCAUCUCCAAUGCUUUAUUGACUGGAUCAUUAGGGUCGUUCAUAUAUCUUUUCCAGAACCAGUGGUCUCUCCAUACUUGCGUCAUUUCUUCAAUAGGAAUAUUCUUAGUCUCGGGCAUGAAGAAGUAACAAAAGACGGUCAUCAGCACCACAAAGAAUGCAAAGAAGACGAAGAGACCAAACUUCAUUGUGCACAGCAUCGAAAGGAACACUUGAGCCACUAAGAAUGUGAAGAACAUGUUUACUGCUACAUUAAUACUUUGUCCAGCCGAUCUGAUCUCCAACGGGAAAAUCUCACUUGGAUAAAGCUAUCCCAAUGGCCCCCAAGACCAUGCGAAACCGGCAACAUAAAUGCAGAUGCAUAUCACCACCAACAUGGCAAACCACUUUGGUAGCAACGUCACAUCUCCCGUCACACCAAAUUUGGCUCCAAUAAGAGCUGCAACUGCAAUCUGUAUCGACAAUAAAAUGCAAAUUAUUACAUUAGCAACGACCAUGUAUAAUUAGCAUGACUGCACGUUUCUUGAAAAUGGGUUAAUUUUUUACCUGGAAGAUAGGCAUUUGGACUCCUCCUUCAAGAAAGAGAGUUCUUCUGCCCCACUUGUCAGCGUAUGCGACUGAUACUAAAGUUGCAAAGACAUUUACGACGCCAGAAAUAACAGCUGACAUGAGAGAAGCAUUGCUUCCAAAUCCAAUGGUUUUAAAGAGCACGGGGGCAUAGAACAUAACCACAUUGAUUCCAGUAAGCUGUUGGAAGAAAGGGAUCAAGAUGGACAUAACCAACUGAGGACGAUAGCACCGCCUCUUUAAGAUAUUUUGCCGUGGAUUCUGCACUAGGCUUGCUUCAUUCUUGGCUGCAAGGAUAUCAUUAAAUUCAGCAUCAACGUUGUCAACUCCACGAAUUCGCUUGAGCAGUGCUUUUGCUUCCUCUUCCUUUCCCCUAUCCACAAGAGAGUUUAGGGUAUCGGAGAGGAAAAAGGACGCAAUAAUGAUGAUUACACCAGGAACGCCAGCCAAUCCCAGGCUGAGCCGCCAUCCCCAGCCACCCUCAAUCUUAGCAAAGAUAUAGUUGAACAGGUUGGCUACCAAUUUUCCAAUUGUGAUCAUCAAUUGAAAGCAAACAUUAAAUGUGCCACGCCAAUUAUAUGGAGACAUCUCUGAUAGAUAAAGAGGCACGGACUGCGUAAUUAAUAGAAUCAAAACUAAGUUAGAUGAAUGAUCCAAAUUUUAAAUCAACACGAAGAGUAAAUUCUGAUACAAAUUGAUUCUGUUACCUGGUUAGCAAACCCAACGCCAUGCCCAAUAAAACACGGCCUAUGACCAGCAUACUGAGGUGCACUGCCGCAGCGUUGAUGAUGGCACCAAUCAAGAAAAUUAUUCCACCAAGCAUCAUCGACUUUCUCCGGCCAAAUUUCUUGGUCAUUGUUGAUGCAAAAAAGGACGCUACAAGGGCAGUCAAAUAGAGGGAAGAUGUAAAAAGUGUCAAAAUCUGGCUGUCAAACUUGCAGUAUUGAUUGGUUGAUGUAUCAUCCAUCUGUUUAUGGUAAACAGAUGGAAAGAAUUUCUCCAGAAAAGGCGCCAUGGAAGUAACUCCACCUGGAUCAAGAAAAUCAAGAAACUUAAACCAGAAUACUUCUUGAAUAAUCAAAACCACGAAAAAGAAUUAGAAGUAUUACAAACUGAAUCCAAGAAAACAUAGAUGAAAUCAUAAAAUCGCAGAUUACACCAUAAACCCUAAAUCACAACAUCAAGGCUUAGAUCUUUCAAUCGAAGGCUCAGACCACACCCAUUUACCAUCACAGAGGCACCGGGACUCAAAACGAACCCUCACAACCCAACACACCAAGGUCACUUCACUGGACUCAAGAAAUCAAACUGCCUACCUUCGGUCGAUCACUCACACAAAGGAGAAUCACACAAGAACACGAUUAUCACAAAGAUAAUCAACCAGAAACCUCACAAAGAGAAGAAGGAAGGGUCACACAGACAAAAGGAACUCGAAGGUUCCAAAUGGCAGAGAGUAAGAAGAAAAACAGAAAGUGACGAUCCAAGAGCCAAACAGGGAGUAAGGAGGAUAUUUAUAGUAAAUAUAAUCAACCGUUGAUCAGCGGGUCAAUCCAACGGUCCAAGAGCGACUAAUGGUGUGUGGGCUGGAUAUUGGGCUCGGUUAAGUGGGCCUUCUAGGUAUAUAUUUAAUGGACCAAGUAAUAAAUCCAAUUUGGGCCUUUUCAUCAUUGCCUAACAGUUGGACUGGAUCAAAUGGCAUCACAGCCCAACAGAUCUCCACCUUGAUGCCAGUGAUCAUACAAGAAGCCUAAUAAAUGUAAAACACAAUUUAAAUGUCCUUCUCUAGAAGACAGCUUCCCAGCAUUCUCAACAAGCAUCAACUUUAGCACCUGUGCAGAACAAAACACUUAACCAGCAUCAAUGUUCAAAAUUUGUAAACAAGACUUAAAUUUGUUUAAAGGAAUUACCUUAGUACCUACAUCAGCUGGAUUAUACUGAGUUGCACUUUUCUCAAGUAAUAUAAGUUCUUUAGAAACAACAUCUCUAAUAAAAUGCAACUUAACAUCAAUAUGUUUUGUUCUUUUAUGAAAAACAGGGUUUUUACAUAGGUGAAUUGCACUUUGACUAUCAGAAUACAAGACAACAGGGUUACUCAAUUCAUUAAUUUCAGAUAAUAAGCCCUUAAGCCAUAAUGCUUCUUUUAUUGUUUCAGUUGCAGCAACAUACUCAGCUUCAGUAGUAGAUAAAGCAACAAUAGGUUGAAGUUGAGAUUUCCAACUAAUGCAUGUAUUACACAAAGUAAACAUAUAAGAAGUAGUAGAUUUCCUAUUGUCUCUAUCUUCGGCAAAAUCUGAAUCUACAAAACCCUUAAGUACAACACCUUCAUUACAAGCACUAAAGAUCAAACCAACAUGUGAAGAUCCUUUCAAGUAUCUCAACAGCCAUUUUAGAGCACCCCAAUGGUCUGGUCCUGGAUUAGCCAUAAAUCUACUAAGUGAGCUAAUAGAAUGAGCUACAUCAGACCUAGUACAUACCAUAGUGUACAUGACAGAACCUACGGCAUUAGCAUAAGGUACAUUUUCCAUUUGCCUAAUGUCAGAUUCACUUACAGGACAUUGCUCUUUACUAAGCUUAAAAUGGCUGGCCAAUGGAAGUGAAACAGAUUUAGAAUUAUGCAUGGCAAACUUAGUCAACAUCUUUUCAAUAUAUGCAGUUUGCUUCAAGUACAGUAUCCUACUGUGCCUUUUCCUCGUGAUUUCCAUACCUAAGAUUAUCUUUGCAUGUCCUAGGUCUUUCAUUUCAAAUUCAGCACUUAAAGACCGUUUUAUCUGGUUAAUAGCAUGCAUAUUCUGACCAAUCAGCAACAUAUCAUCCACAUAAAGAAGUAUAAAUGCAACAAUAGCAUUUUCAUCAUUUCUUUUAAAGUAAAGACAAUGGUCAUAUUCACUUCUUAUGAAACCAAUAGUAGAUACAAAAUUAUCAAACCUUUUGUACCAUUGUCGUGGAGAUUGCUUUAAACCAUAUAAUGAUCUUUUUAAUAGACACACAUGAUCAGAUUUAGUUUUAUCAAUAAAACCAGGUGGCUGUCUCAUAUAAAUCACUUCAUCUAGGUCACCAUGCAAGAAAGCAGUUUUCACAUCCAUUUGUUCAAGUUCAAAAUCAUAAUGAGCAACAAGGACAAGCAUAACUCUAAUUGUUGUAUACUUUAUCACAGGUGAAAAUAUCUCAUUAUAAUCUAUGCCCUCUUUUUGCGUAAAUCCUUUUGCUACAAGUCUAGCCUUAAAUCUUAUGGGUAUCUUUUCAGUAUUUCCCUCCUUAACACUAAAGAUCCACUUGCAAUCAACAAGGGUCUUACCUGCAGGUUUUGGAACUAAAAUCCAAGUCUCAUUUUUCAUUAAGGAGUCCAUUUCAUCUAUCAUAGCAGCAUGCCAGUUCUCAGACUGCUUGCAGCUCAUUGCCUCUUCAUAAGAUUUUGGUUCUUUAAACACUAGGUCAUGAUAGGACAAGACAGCAAGUGAAAGGUAAUCUCCAUACCUAACAGGCUCUCUUACUUCCCUCCUAGUCCUAUCUCUAGUUAAUUGGUAAUCUCCCAAUUCAUCAGGCUGACUUUCCAGAUUUUCUUGAACAUUUUCCUCUUCAUUUUCUUGAGGAUCAGAAGCUAUUUCAGCUUCUUCAUCUACCUGUUCAUCACUAACAGGUUCAGUAGGUAAACCAAGCUCCACCUGAAGCUUGGUACCAUCACCUCUUUCAUCACCAGGUACCCAUUUUGGUUCUUUAUUAUCUAAACAAGGCAUCUUUGACUCAUCAAAGGUAACAUCUCUACUGGUGAUGAUUCUAAAACCUUUUACUUCUUUACUCCAUAGCUUAUAACUUUUAACCCCAUCAGGAUAUCCCAAGAAAACACAUUUCUGGGCUCUAGGUUCAAGUUUUCCUAUACUUUGAUGGGAAUAGGCAGCACAACCAAAGAUUCUUAAAUGUGAAUAGUUAGGAACAUGUCCUGUCCAUAACUCUUCAGGGGUUUUAUCUCCUAGAGCACUUGAGGGGGUCCUAUUAACAAUAUAUGAGGCUGUCAUUACAGCUUCACCCCAUAACACCUUAGGGACACCUGAGCCUAUCAACAUGCACCUAACCUUAUCUAGCAAGGUUCUAUUCAUCCUCUCAGCCACUCCAUUCUGCUGAGGAGUAUAAGGUACAGUUUUAUGCCUUUUAAUACCAGAUUCUUUGUACAACUGAUCAAAUUCAGCAUUGCAAAACUCAAGGCCAUUAUCAGUCCUAAGGGUCUUAAUUUUCUUCCCAAUCUCAUUUUCCACCAGAAUCUUCCAAGUUCUGAAUUUAUCAAAUGUUUCAGAUUUGUGUUUCAACAAAUAAACCCAAACCUUCCUUGAAUAGUCAUCUAUCAAGGACAAGAAAUAUCUAUUUCCUCCUUGAGUAACAGUGGAUGAAGGCCCCCAUAAAUCAGCAUGUAUAUACUCAAGGAUAGAGGUGGUUCUAUGUUUUCCUGUGUUAAAAUGCAUCCUAUGCUGUUUUCCUAAGGUGCAAUUUUCACAAAAAGACACCUUAGAUAUAGAGUCCUUCUCACACACACCUUUCUUAUAAAGGAUGUGAAGGCCCUUUUCACCUACAUGGGCCAAUCUCUUGUGCCACUUUAAGGUAGCAUCAACUUCUACACUAGAAGACUCACCUAUGUGAUCAAAUACUGUACUAGCUUUGAUCACAUAAAUUCCAUUUCUUUUAACACCUUUAAAAAUAACAAGUGAUCCUUUUAUCACUUUCAAGAAGCCAUCUCCUAUUUUUCCUUGCAAUCCCAUAUCAUCUAGAUUCCCCAUGGAAAUCAGAUUCCUAUUCAAUUCAGGAACAUAUCUCACCCUUUCAAGAGUGCAAAUGUAUCCAUUAUCGAAUUUCAAAGUGACAUUCCCAACUCCCUCAACUCUGCAGGCUACAUUAUUGCCCAUAACUACUUCUCCUCCAUCAAUUUUCUUAAAAUUGUCUAAAUAUACCCUUUUAUAGGUCAUAUGAAAAGUGCAACCAGAAUCCAAGAUCCACUCUUGGUUCUGAUUCUCAUCAACAACAUUUGCAGAGCUAGGUAGAUUUUCAGUCACAGCAUAUACAUCAACUGUGGCAGAACCUUCAGAUUCUACCACAUUUCCUUCAUCAACACCCUUUUGUUUCUGUUCAUUUUUCUUCUUAUAACAGUCUUUAAUAAAAUGUCCAGAUUUCCCACACCCAUAACACUUCUUAGUCCUAGUCCUUGACUUAGACCUGCCUCUACUUUUAAAUUUUCUUCUACUGUUAUUUCCCUGAUUAUUAUGGCUUUCCUGAGUACCACUAGACCUACUUAAAGUCCUCCCCCUAGCAAACAAGUUCUCAUGGCCACUAUUACCUCUCUCAGACUUAAGUUCAAGUUCCUUACUCCUUAAAGAGUCUAUAACAAUAUCAGGUGUAAGAGUAUCUCUACCAUACUUAAUGGCGGCUUUAACCUCUUUGUAGGCUUCAGGUAUUGCAUUAAGUAGUACUACAGCCUUAUACUCAUCAGAAACUUUCUCACCUGUAUUAAUAAUGUCUUGAACUAACUUAUUAAAAAUAUCUAAGCUAUUCUCUAAGUCUCUAGUUGGAUCUAUCCUAAAGCUAAAAAAUUUCUCUAAUAGAAACAACUUAUUAGGUAAAGACUUAGGUAGGUAAAGUUUUUCUAAUUCAUCCCAUAAAGCCUUAGCAGUAUCAUGUUUGUCUACUUUUCUUAAAACUUGAUCAGAUAAAUGCAAAAUAAUGGAGGUAUAAACAAGUUCAUCAGAUUCUUCCUUUUGAUCAUCUGUCAUGGUAUCAGGAAAUUCAUCUGUUAUUGCUUUAGAAACCUUUUGCUGAACUAAAACACCUCUCAUUUUUUGUUGCCAAAUGGGAAAAUCCCCUUUUCCAUCAAAAACACCAAGUUCAAAAGAUUUUCUCAUGUUUUAUUUGUGAAGAACUAACACACAGUAAUUUUUUCACAAAUUAUAACAAAACAGAGAAUCAACUUUUGAAAACUGUUGAAAUUGACCUUCACAAAAAUUUAUGUUUUAGAUCACAUAAAGUAAUAUGCAGUCAAAGAAAAUGAGCCACAAUUAUUUUUAUUCACAAACAGUUUCAAUCAAUAGCAGGAACAUUAGGUAUUCUAAUAUAAACACCACAAGAAUCAGGAAAUACAACAAUGCAGGUAAAACAAUAUCUCAGAAUUAAAGAAUCAGUAUAUGCAGGACCUAGGGCUGAUCAAAUUCACCAGGAUUCCGUGAGAAUCAAGUUCUCAGGUCAAGGCUCAAUUUGAAUCACCCAAACUUAAUUGAUCACAAGCAACUAUUACAAGAUAUCGCAAACUAAUGUAACAGGUUACAAUGUACAGUAACUAAACAUAUCAACAUAGAGGCAUAUAUACAUAAGGGCAGUGUUUAGUGAGUGUGAGAUCAUAGGGGGUUCAAGAAAUGCAAACCGAGGAUGGUUAAACAAUUUAACCACCAGCUGAAAUCCAGAAGAAAUUAUUGCAGCAUGGAUAAAUUCACUGCAGGUCACCAAGGCACAAAACGUGCCCCUACAGAUUCAGUCUCCUCCAGUUUCAAGGCCUGGCAGCUCCAAUCAGUUAGGGUUCAAGCACAAAACAAGCCCACAGGAUCUCAGUAUUGUGAUUCAUUUUCAAAUCACAUCGAGGAAUCACAGAAACUCCCUCGCAUUCCACAGUCCAGAGUCGAAUCAACACCACAAACCACUAUGUCGACACAAAAUCAAAACUAGGGUUUCGCGAUCUCCGGUCGAACUCCUGAAAAUUAAUUUUCCAGUGUUCAACCUUCAAUCGAAGACUCACGACCGAAAGCCUAUAGCUCUGAUACCACUAUUACAAACUGAAUCCAAGAAAACAUAGAUGAAAUCAUAAAAUCGCAGAUUACACCAUAAACCCUAAAUCACAACAUCAAGGCUUAGAUCUUUCAAUCGAAGGCUCAGACCACACCCAUUUACCAUCACAGAGGCACCGGGACUCAAAACGAACCCUCACAACCCAACACACCAAGGUCACUUCACUGGACUCAAGAAAUCAAACUGCCUAC